ACGGAGGGGGUUAGCGUUGUUCGGAAUUACUGGGCGUAAAGCGUACGUAGGCGGAUUAGUCAGUCAGAGGUGAAAUCCCAGGGCUCAACCCUGGAACUGCCUUUGAUACUGCUAGUCUUGAGUUCGAGAGAGGUGAGUGGAAUUCCAAGUGUAGAGGUGAAAUUCGUAGAUAUUUGGAGGAACACCAGUGGCGAAGGCGGCUCACUGGCUCGAUACUGACGCUGAGGUACGAAAGUGUGGGGAGCAAACAGG
rnacentral:rRNA from 1 species